CAAAGUCCCCUUAAUAAACCCUUGUGCGACGCUUGCGAUCAGCGUAGAACUACAUUCCUCCGUCGACCGCGCAGGCUUGUCCACUGUCGAAGGGAAAUCGAAUUUCCGACGAGGAUCUAUGAUUUAGUCAGGUCGAAGCUCGCUCAACAGUAAACAUGCAAACGUAAAAUCGUCAGAGGAACGAAUUUCUGGAACAAAUGAAUACCAUCGAAUAAAUUACAUACAAUCAACUAUUUCAAGAAAAAACAGAGUUUUCAAUAAAUCUUUGGAGUAACCAAUUGACAAAGCAAGUAAAUAUUAAAUAAUUUGUAUAUGAAGAAAUGAGCAAUGCUGUUAUGACGGAAGCUUUGAAGUUUGCAUGUUAGUUUCAGAGUUCGUCCCUAUAUCCAGAACCAGUUUUUUUUUGUUAACCUACAGAAACAUACCAAUAUCUACCACCUCUACUUGAUACAGGAGCUCUUCCACACAGUAAGAGCCUUACAUUGGACUUUAUAGGAGCCACGAGGACCUCACCCAUCCUAUUGGACUUGAUUUGGAUCAGUGAUUGUAAAAACUAAGCUAAUUUUUACCUAUAUUACUUGCAUUUCAUAGUACUAUUUACCUUUGAUUAAUUUACUUUUGGGGACUUCCUUGUGUGCACACAAUCAAGCAAAUUACGUAUAUAGUUUUGAAUAAAUGGGGGAUUUGUUUUUUUAUUAAUAAUAUUAGGAUGUAAAAAAAAUACAUGUGUUAAUAUAAACUAGAUAAGGUAUAAAUAAUAAGUAAUUCAAUCAGUUUAAAAUUAAAUAAAAAAAGGGGUAAUAAUAAUUAAAUAUAAUAUAUUAAAGAGAGGUUUUCAAUACUACUUGAGUGAGCAUUAUUUGAUUUACGUAGAAUCUACGACCUGACUCGUUUUUUUUUUAUGUUGUAAUUCUCCCAGUGUCUGUGUUAAGUGUAAUACUUACACAUAUACUGAUAUUUGAGUGCUCUGGACACUUGUCAGUCCAAUUAGUUUGUUUAUUAUAUUACUAACCUUAGGUUAAGACUUCAGCUAUUCACACGGACUUUGAUUGUUUACUAAUAUAUAUCUUUUCCUUGGCCAGUAGUAGUGGUUCUUUUAUUUGUAGUGGCUCUUAGGUCCUCUCUCACUGUUAUACCACCCACUACUACUGUUAUUUAGAUGUUAUAUAGAUGUAUAAUAUAAAAUAUUUAUACAUAAUGUUCAAUAAUUAAUUGUUGAUAAAUAUAUUGGUUGUU
rnacentral:lncRNA from 1 species